UUCCAUGGCUCAGAGGGUAAAGUGUCUGCCUGCAAUGCAGGAGACCUGGGUUUGAUCCCCGGGUUGGGAA
rnacentral:tRNA from 1 species